rnacentral:tRNA from 1 species
GUUUAUAUAGUUUAAUAAAAACUUUGAUUUGUGGAUUCAACGAUAUAUAAUUAUUAUAAACAAUU